rnacentral:sRNA from 1 species
UCCUCGAUCUGCUGCGGGCAGAUGUAGUGGAUGUGGCUGUCGAAGCCACCCGCGGUGAGGAUCUUCCCCUCCCCCGCGAUCACCUCGGUGCCCGGCCCGACCACGAUGUCCACGCCCGGCUGGAUGUCCGGGUUGCCGGCCUUGCCGAGGUGGACGAUGCGACCGCCUUUCAGGCCGACAUCGCAUUUCACGAUGCCCCAAUGGUCGAGCACCACCGCGUUGGUGAUGACGGUAUCGACCGCGCCCGCUUCGUUCGUCACCUGGCUCUGGCCCAUGCCGUCGCGGA